CGGAAUGCACCCUUCUUAAUAUAGAGCUUUAUUUUCUCUUAUGUGUUCUGUGUUCUGUGGUGCACAGCUGAUAGGAAUAAGUGUAAACCGAGUGAAUCUAUAAUGUCAAAAGCAUUUUUAAUGAAAAUAUCUUAUAACUUAUGUAUUUUUUUACAUGGAUUGAUUGCGAGAAGACAAUUUAUGAUUUGGAAUAAAUGAGACUGGUGAUUUUGCAUUUAUUGCUGUCAUGUGAGCGAAUUGGACAGUUGUUUUCAUAUUGUUUCUAUACUGUAAUUUAGUUUAUAUAUGUCUUCCUUUUUUAUCGACUACUAAAUAUAUCUGAAAAAAGUAUUUAUAUUGGAUUAUAUUUAUAUUUUAAUUUUUAUGCUAUAAUUGGGCCCAGAUAACAAAAUGUCUGCAUAGUGACUGCACAGUGUUUGCAUGCGUCACAGUGUGACUGCACUUAAUAAUCGUCACAGUGUGACUGCACAGCACCAUGCAGAUACGUCCUCCUUUGAGAUUCAUAUCGCUUGCACACGUGAGUGCCGCACGCGUGCGGGCGAUAGGAGCCUCAUACUUAUUAGAAAAUAACAAGGAAAAUAACAAUAAUGUGAACGAUAUUUUAAUCCAAUGAGAUCUUUAUUAAGACGAAACGGGAAAUAAACGAAACAGAAAUAAAAAUAAAGACAAAUAUAAUACUUAUUUACAGAAAAUAACUAAUUUUCUUUAAAACUAAGCAAAAAUGGGCAUAUCUGUAAAGAAUUUUUUUUCUUAGUUUAUUGAUUCCUUACAUAGUCUUUUAGAGUUAUUUAAUUUUGAGACGUUCUAUAUGUGGCAACAAAUAGAAAAAUAUGUUGGAUUAAUUCUAGAUAAUAAAAUAAAAUACUUUAUCCAAUGAAAUAAACUAGCAAGAAAAUGAGUAAUUUUAACAUUAAAAUAGGUUUAUAUAAUUUUAUGUACAAAAAUAUUUUUGCUUGAUAGUACAUCACCAGAUUUUAAAGAAGAAUAAAAUAGUAAUAAUUAAUAAUAAUGAAUUCAAAAGACGAAGGAUAUAAUGCUGCAAUUUAAUCCAUAUAAUGUGAUAUUUUUACUCGCUAUAACUUUCAAUGGUUUGGAUUAUCCGAACACUCCGAUAACAUCGCAGGAAAGACGAGUGAAUGAAAAAAUUGAACAUAUGCUAUUAGAAAUAAAAAAUGAAGAAUAAUUUCAAUUAGAAGAGGAAGAAACUUUAGAUUUUUAUGAUGAGUAUGAGGUGCCAGAAGCGGAAAAAGUUGAUUUAUUAGAAGCGGAUGAAGAAAAAAUCUAUUUUCCAGAAGAAGUUAUUUGUGAUUCAGUUGAAAAAACAAUAUCAAAUGACUAUAAGAGGCAAGCUGUGGAAUACUGGAAAAGUGGUAAGACAAAACCAAGAUCGCUUGAAGGAGUUAAGCAAAAAUUUAGACAAGUUACAUCGAUACGACAAUUACGACGAUGGGAAAACUAUUUCAUCCAAGGUGGUAGUAGGCCAGAAAAAUUAAAAAAAAUUUCUCAAUACACAUUAGACCAUUUUAAUGAAGCACUUGAAAGAAAAAUCAUCAUUCAUGACAUUGACAUCGCUCGAUGGGCUUCUCAAGCACAAAAUGAAGAAAAUGUGGCAGGAUUUAAAGCUUCAGAGAAAUGGGUACAAAGAUUUAAAAAAGCACAUAAUAUUGUAUCUAGAAAAA